rnacentral:misc_RNA from 1 species
UCACCAAAUCAAGCCUGGCUUGUUGUUGGGCCCUUUGUCACUGGGUGACAGGUCCAAAAGACAAUGACUGGUGUCAUACAGACUCCCUAUGCAACGAGCUUAUAAGAGCACGCAUCUGGUGGUUAUGUGACCCUGGUUUGCAUCCUUUCUUUCUCAA